rnacentral:rRNA from 1 species
UAGGGAAUCUUCCGCAAUGGACGAAAGUCUGACGGAGCAACGCCGCGUGAGUGAAGAAGGAUUUCGGUUCGUAAAACUCUGUUGUUAGGGAAGAAAAAAUGUAUAGUAACUAUAUACAAAAGAGACGGUACCUAACCAGAAAGCCACGGCUAACUACGUGCCAGCAGCCGCGGUAAUACGUAGGUGGCAAGCGUUGUCCGGAAUUAUUGGGCGUAAAGCGCGCGCAGGUGGUUUAGAAAGUCUGAUGUGAAAGCCCACGGCUCAACCGUGGAGGGUCAAUGGAAACUAAUAAACUUGAGUGCAGGAGAGAAAAGUGGAAUUCCUAGUGUAGCGGUGAAAUGCGUAGAGAUUAGGAGGAACACCGGUGGCGAAAGCGGCUUUUUGGCCUGCAACUGACACUGAGGCGCGAAAGCGUGGGGAGCAAACAGG